CUUUUCUCUCCUCCCGUCACCUCGUUAAAGGAGACGGACGCUCCCAGCGUCGCCUCCCUCUGAGCGAUCCGCUUGGUGCACAGCGUACCGGGCAGCUCCCCGCGUCUAUAUACACGCGCGCAUUGGCGCAAUUUUGAAUGCGCUAUCCAAGCUCCGCAUCGCAGCCCAUUCAAAGAAUUGCUUGGCAACGUGAUAGUUAGUUCAAUAUAAGUCAGUAGUGCUCUGGUCGCCACCGGUUCAUUCUAGUUACUGGUUCCACAUUCCACCAUGCAAUAGUUCCAUGUUUGCAGGGUCAGCGCUGUGCAUGACCCUGCCCUGUGCUACAAUUGCAAGAUCAACUCCCUUGUCCCCGGUGGAUGCGUGAACUUAUACACGUUGCAAAGGGUAAUAUGAUUAAGCUGACAUCUGUUUUGCUAGGAGCUGCUAUCACAUCUAAUCAGGGUCCCCCUGUGUGCCUCCGUCAGGUCUCAGGCAACCCUUAGGCUGUGCUCGGCUUUAUUAUCAGUGAAACUUGAUUGCAUCCGUUUCAGGGUCUUCCUGUGUGGCACUCCGUAUACUAAGCUGGCCCUGUACCUCCGUCCGGAUGGCCGCAACACGGAGCCUGCAGCCGUGGGCACCAUGCGCGACCCGAAAGGCUGCCCGUCAUAGGCCUGUCUAAUGGCCAAGUCUCCACUGCGGCUGCAAGCGAAACCGCCCAUAAUGCUUGGACGGCUCACACGCCGUCACUUCGCUACAGCUGCUUGUGGGCACGCCGGUGCCUCGUAUGUGUUGCGCAUACACUGCCGAGUAUUGCAGUGUAUAUUGUACUGUCACUUAUUCGUGGGUGAGCAGCCUUGUAGUCUAUCACGCAUACACGCGGACUGCUUGGGGUUCCAGUCCCGUUUCGUCGCGCACCGGGCAUGCGCUUUUCAAUCACGGCACUGUUCGUUUGCCGUUUUACUCCGACGUCGGGCUUCUCCCCCGGGUCCCGCGCUGUGGCCACAGAGGGUCUUCACAGCUCCGCUCUACUCACGGCCCCUUCUGGCAGACCCGAUCUGAGCGCAGCUCGCUCUCCUACAACGGGCUGCUCGCGAGUCAGCUGUCCUCCACAUCUCUUUGUUGUUGGCGGAUCACCAUUUUGGAUUCCUCACAAGCGCACCGCCACAAAAUUCUUCUGGCUGAUUUCGCUCGCAUCACAGCGCUGAUCCUCACCAUCUCCAGCUCCGUUGGGCAGUGUUAGUUCAUGAACUCGGGCAAACGAUGUAUUCAGACCAGGAUGGUUUCAAUGUGUCACAUUUUCUCGGAUCAUUUCAGGAUCAUCAGGAGCCUCCUUGGAAACACGUCCUCCUACAUGGCUCUGUAGCCACGCCCCCAGCCGCACAGAGUUCUUUUCUUUUCUUUGUGAAGGGCAGGGCACCCUGGAAUGGGUUCGCCCCGAGAGAGGGGCCCGAGCCUUGGAAAGCGUCGGCGGUUCCGGCGGCGUCCGGUGAGCUCUCGCUGGUCCUUGAAAAUCUGGGUGAGAUUUGUAAAUCUCGCGCCAGGCCGUACCCAUAUCCGCAGCAUGUCUCCAAGCGGACCACCUCUGGCAUGUCAGGAACAAUGUAGGUACGGAAGUCAGCAAGUCAGAUCCGUAACUUCGGGAAAAGGAUUGGCUCUAAGGGCUGGGUCGGUCGGGCUGGGGCGCGAAGCGGGCUGGGCGCGCGCCGCGGCUGGACGAGGCGUCACCCCCGGGGGCGGCGCCGACUCUGGACGCGAGCCGGGCCCUUCCUGUGGAUCGCCCCAGCUGCGGUGGUCGCCUCUCUCCGUUCCUCUGGGGUUCAGGGCCGGCAUUCUGCCUCGGCCGACACCUAGCAGCUGACUUGGAACUGGUGCGGACCAGGGGAAUCUGACUGUUUAAUUAAAACAAAGCAUUGCGAAGGCCCGUGGAGGGUGUUGACGCAAUGUGAUUUCUGCCAAGUGCUCUGAAUGUCAAAGUGAAGAAAUUCAAUGAAGCGUGGGUAAACGGCUGGGGUAACUAUGACCUUUAAGGUAGCCACAUGCCUCGUCAUCUAAUUAGUGAUGUGCAUGAAUGGAUGAAUGAGAUUCCCACUGUCCCUAUCUACUAUCUAGCGAAACCACAGCCAAGGGAACAAGCUUGGCAGAAUCGCCGGGAAAGAAGACCCGGUUGAGUUUGACUCUAGUCUGGCACUGUGAAGAGACUUGAGGUAGGAUAAGUGGGAGGCCCUCGGGCCGCUGGUGAAAUACCACUACUCUUAUUGUUUUUCCACUUACCCGGUGAGGCGGGGGCGAGCCCCGUGGGGCUCUCGCUUCUUGCUCCAAGCACCCGGCACCUGCCGGGCACGACCCGCUCCGGGACAGUGGCAGUGGGGAGUUUGACUGGGUGGUACACCUGUCAAAGGAUAACGCAGGUGUCCUAAGGCGAACUCAAGGAGGACAGAAACCUCCCGCGGAGCAGAAGGGCAAAAGCUAGCUUGAAUCUCGAUUUUCAGUAUGAAUACAGACCGUGAAAGCAGGGCUUCACGAUCCUGCUGACUUUUGGGUUUCAAGCAGGAGGUAUCAGAAAAGUUACCACAGGGAUAACUGGCUUGUGGCGGCCAAGCCUUCAUAGCGACGUCGCUUUUUGAUCCUUCGAUGUCGACUCUUCCUAUCAUUGUGAAACAGAUUUCACCAAGCAUCGGAUUGUUUACCCACUAAUAGGGAACGUGAGGUGGAUUUAGACCGUUUGAGACAGGUUAGUUUUACCCUACUGAUGAUGUGUUGUUGCAAUAGUAAUCCUGCUCAGUACGAGAGGAACCGCAGGUUCAGACAUUUGGUGUAUGCUUGCUGAGGAGCCAAUGGGUGAAGCUACCAUCUGUGGGAUUAUGACUGAACGCCUCUACGUCCGAAAUCCCCCCUCCACCCCAGACCGUGAUACUGCAGCGCUGUCGAGCAUCGGUUAGCUUAGGAUAGCCGGCCUCGGGGGCCGGUGUGUAGAGCCGCUUGCCUCAGGACUUGAGUGUGGACAGAAGGGGGCCACCUCUCUCACCCAUAGUGCACCGCAU
rnacentral:rRNA from 1 species